UAUGGUAUACUUUUCCUUAGUAUCAUUAUUAUAACUUCCUCUUUUCAAUAUACGAAUUUUUGGUUUGGUCACAUCCGAUUUACUUUUCUUUUGGCCAUCUUCCAAAUCCGUCUUACUCUUUCCUUUUAGAGAAGACAUAAUGAGCUUAGUUGAACUUUCAGUGAGCUUAAUAUAACAACUGAAGUGCCUCAUAUGAUGUGCAAAUAGUUAGCUACUGGGGAUAUGACAAGUAGUACAUAUGAAGAUAUACAGCACUCAGCAGAAGUGUCAUGGAUUCAGGCGGAACUAAGCUGAUUCAGCUUUAUCACCAUAGCCAAACAUCCAGUAAUCAAGGGUGAAAGGGCUCCCUUUUCCUUGAAAGCCAUUGCAAUUAUUUUGCUUGGAUAGAUGAAUGUUUUGGAAUGACUAUGCAACAGCUACAUGAAAGCUGUGAAAACAUGGGAUGCCAACUUUGUGGAAGAGUAUGGAUGAUUUUGGCCAAAGAAUAACAUUUGAAAGUGAAGAUAUUUAUCGUGGCCUGAGGACCCAACUAUCAACUUAAAUCCCACACCUCAG